GUGAGGAAUAUUGCACAAUGGGCGCAAGCCUGAUGCAGCAACGCCGCGUGGGCGAAGAAGGCCUUCGGGUUGUAAAGCCCUUUUCUGAGGGACGAGAGCGGACGGUACCUCAGGAAUAAGGUUCGGCUAACUACGUGCCAGCAGCCGCGGUAAUACGUAGGAACCGAGCGUUAUCCGGAUUCACUGGGCGUAAAGCGCGUGCAGGCGGUUUUGUAAGUUGGACGUGAAAGCUCCUGGCUUAACUAGGAGAGGUCGUUCGAGACUGCAAGGCUUGAGGUCGGGAGAGGGACGUGGAAUUCCCGGUGUAGUGGUGGAAUGCGUAGAGAUCGGGAGGAACACCAGUGGCGAAGGCGGCGUCCUGGCCCGCACCUGACGCUAAGACGCGAAAGCGUGGGGAGCGAACGGGAUUAGAAACCCGUGUAGUCC
rnacentral:rRNA from 1 species